GGAGAGCUGUCCGAGUGGUCGAAGGAGCACGAUUGGAAAUCGUGUAUACGUUAAUCGCGUAUCGAGGGUUCGAAUCCCUCGCUCUCCGCCA
rnacentral:tRNA from 2 species